GCAGGUGGCGGAGCGUGUGAUGGGGGCUGCUCUGCUGGGCCCCCCGCAUCACUGUGUGCCCUCUCUUUUCCAGUGUUUGUGGGCUAUCUGUGCAUCGUGCUGCUCAUGCUGCUGCUGCUCAUCUUCUGGAUUGCACCGGCCCAUGGGCCCACCAACAUCAUGGUCUACAUCAGCAUCUGCUCCUUGCUGGGGAGUUUCACCGUGCCUUCCACCAAGGGCAUUGGGCUGGCUGCCCAAGACAUCUUCCACAACAACCCGUCUAGUCAGCGGGCCCUCUGCCUGUGUCUGGUGCUCCUGGCCGUGCUUGGCUGCAGCAUCAUCGUCCAGUUCAGGUACAUCAACAAGGCCCUUGAGUGCUUCGACUCCUCUGUGUUUGGGGCCAUCUACUAUGUUGUGUUCACCACACUGGUCUUGCUGGCCUCAGCCAUCCUCUUCCGGGAGUGGAGCAACGUGGGUCUGGUGGACUUCUUGGGCAUGGCCUGUGGGUUCACCACUGUCUCCGUUGGAAUUGUCCUUAUACAGGUGUUCAAAGAGUUCAACUUCAACCUGGGGGAGAUGAACAAAUCUAAUGUGAAAACAGACUAGGAUGUAACAGGAAAUUGUAUGGCUUGAGGAACAGAAAGAAGAUACGGUCUCUGGUCCUAAUUUGAUGUGAAGAAGAAAAGUAAAUUUACACAAGUACAUCGCUUGUGUUGGAGUUGCUUGUAUAUGAUGAAUAGGCUGGUGGAGAAUGAGGAUGCGUUGCUUAGCACUGGAGUGUGGACUCAGCCUUCUGUUCACUGAAGUUGCUCAGUGGUUGCCUGAGUGUCAUCUCUCUCUGAUGAGAGGAAUCUUAUGUUCAUUGCCAUUAACCUGGAAGCUUUGAUGAAUACUCUUUGCUUUUAAAACACUAUCAUUAUUUAAAUAGAAUGGGCCUAUUCUGGUUAGUGUUUGCAGGGGAACAGAUGUUCUUAUUUAGAAGCUUACUUUGGAAAUAGGAGAAAGUGUUGUCUUGAAGUCUGACUUUACAGUAAAUGUGUGUCUUUAGUCUUGUUAUUUUGCAUUAAGCAUGUAUAAAAUUCAGGUGUUCCAUCCAAAUCAGAGGUAUAUACAUUUAAUUGUUUUUAAUCCUCUGAUGUGUUGACUCUCCUACCCCUGACUCCUAGACAUUUUAAUUGGAAACAGAGAGAGAAGAGUGGAUACCAUAUACUGUUCCAUUUGCAGGAUGAUUUUCAGUAGCUCAAAUCAAUUUCAGUGCCUUUAUCACUUGAACUAUUCACUUAAUUUGACUAUUACUGUGUGUCUGUUCUCUUAGAUUAGAAUAAUGCAACUUCCAUGAUUAUACUUUAGUAUUUCACUAUUCAAACUAUAAAUGUUCAAAGCAGUUAUAAAUUAUAGUAUAUUAUUUAUUGGAAGAGAAUCAAGAUGAAAGACACAUUAGAGUAAGUUGACCCUUUCAGCAUGUGUUAUAGUCCAAUUAAAGACAAUUGAAUAAGUAGCAUGAGGUAUUUUAUUUGUAUUCAGUCUAAUAUAACUGGGAUCCAGUAUUAAAUUUACCUAUGUUCUCAUUCAGUAAACAUUGUGGCCACUAAGAAGAAAUUAUUUAACUUGAUAAUAAGGCUGUUAAAUGAGAGAGUUAACUGUUAAGUGGCACAUAUGAGUUCAGGAACAAGUUAAAGGACGCAAUUAAGCUUAAGUUUUUUUGUUUUUUGUUUUUGCUACAAGUUGGAACACACAUAGUUUUAGAAAGAAUUUCUAACAAAAAUGAAAACAGUUUAACCAUCUCCCUGUUGUUUGAGAUGACAAAGCACUCUGCAGUCCCUCACCCAAUCUCUCAUUAAACUUCUGAAAUGCAAAAUAGCCAUUAAUGAUCCCAGUAUUUGGAUCAAAAGAGGUCAUUUGCCUGUCUAUAGUAAUCUUCCCUGUGUAUGAAAUAGUAACAAAGCACAGAGUGAUGCAAAUAUUCAUCAAGGUAUCAUAUACUUCAUCUGCAAUACUGUUCUCCCCAUCCCACUCUGUGAGGCAUGUGGGGUUUUCCUACCAGGGAUUGAAACGGUGCCCCAUGCAGUGGAAGUGCAGUCUUAACCACUGGACCACCAGGAAAGUCCUAAGGGCAGUGUUUUGUCUAAAUAGGGAACUAAGCCAAGUUGAAAGAUGGGAUUGAGUAAGGUGAUGGGAUUGACUUGGUGAAGUAGAACAAAGAAUUUAAUAAUACCCAGUUAAAAUUACUAAGGAAUGUCAAUAGAAAAAAAUGUAUUUUUUUUAUAUGAAACGAACAUUUCUAAAGACCUGAGGGAUAGCUUCCUAAAGUGUUGAAUAAAGAGGCUAAAUAAAACAAGGAUAGAGCAAAAAACACCCCUGUGAAUUAAAAGUACAUUGGAUGAUCAUGAGUUGUCAGUGAGCUGUGAACUAACAGCAGCAAGAGUAUUUUAAAAAUUUUCUAAAUCUUAUAGUAACUGAUAGUUAAUAAAUGCUCCCAGCAUUUACUGAUAGUAAAAUGCUCCCAGAAAUCCAUUACUCUUUUUAUCAACUCUUGAAGGUUUGUUUUUUAUCAUCAGUAUUUUUAGGAAUACAGGCCUUAAUUUAUUGAACUGAAUUUUCUAAAAAUGGAGGUGUAUAAAUAUACUUUUCAGCAUAAAAAUAGUUUCCUAGGUAAGGAGUUGAGAUAUUCAAAAAAUACAUGUGACUAUACAAGUAUCAUAAGAAAGUUAUGGAAAUUACCUUUUUCUUUUUUUUUUGGUUGCAGUUUCCAUGUGAAGCUUAGUUUAUUUAAAUCCAUCUAUUGAUGUUCCUGGUUGCAGUUAAUCUGUGUAUUCCAUAGACACUUAAAGGUGAUAUUUUCUGGAUUAUCUCCCUAUGAUUUUUUUUUUUUAGUAAAAUAAAAUCUCAAAGUAUAAACAACUUGUCAUCUCUUGAAGGUGAUAAGCCCCAAAACAGUUAGACUCUUCCAAAUUUAUAUCUGUUUAGCAGAUAACUUUGGUAGGAUGCACAGCUUUUCUUCCACUGGAAUGCAAUUCAUACCAUCCAUUGUAUUCCAAGUGUGACUGUAGCCUGGAAGUAAUUGACAUGACUAGCAGUCUAACAGCCUACUUUUGACAUAGAGCAUAUAACUUCUGACUUACAGUACUUAUUUUACAAAUCUGUGUUUUUAUAAUUUAUUUGGAAUUUAAAAAAAUAAAAGCUUUAAAGAGAAAGGCCCAGAAUGGGGAUAGGUCUUACAGUGAUCUUUUCAAAAGUAAACAUUUUCCUUAUUAUGCUAUUCUCUGGGUUUUAUCUUUGAUAAAACUAAGGAAAAAAAUUGUCCACUUGUUUUCAAGCCUCCUGUAAAAUUGUAUGUUUGUGAUCAAAACUUGCACAUUUACCUGGAUAGAUACCUAAAUAGGCCAUUUCUCUCCUCUCUUAGUUGGACAAUGCCUUGUUUUCUCCUCUGAAUCUUUGCAUUUAAAAAGACUGCUUCCUGUUCUGCUCAGUGGUUAAGUGUAUAUGGCCUAUUAAGGAUUCUAACCCAAACCCAGCACCAAGAUCACCCUGAGUGUUUUGCUGUUCUAUAGGACUACUCCACCUCUGCAGAGAAGAAUCCAGAAAGAAAGGGCAGUCUCCCUGCUGCCACAUGGGGAGCAAGAACUCCCCACAGGUGGGUCUUCAGGGGGUAUCAUCGCUCAGAUGUUAUUAUGGUCUUUUCACAUUAGAAAGUUAGUGAAAUACACUUUGCUGCUCUUGCUUCAGCAAUAAGAAAUAUUCUUUCAAGUCCUACUUUUCAAGCCAGUUUGUUAUAUGCAGUUUUAUUUCCAGAAGUUGAUUCUAGCUGUGCUCAAUAGAAUGGGUUUUUCUUUGGGUUUCUCAUCUGAUAGAAGAAAGUACUAUUGAAGUAGGCAGUCACCUCUCAUCUUCCUUCUUCAUUGACCUCUCAGCUCUUUGUAAAUACUGUGCUCACUUUCUAGAGGCCAGUUCCUAGACUGUAGUUCCUAGAUCUGUAAAGUGCUUGAGAUGCACUGUCUGUAGGCCUGGAUGAGUUCACGGAGACUGAGGUAUUUGUUGGUCACAGGCUACUGUCAUGCUGCCUAAUUCUUGUUAGGAGAUGACAGCUCUCUUUUCUGAGCGUCUCAACUAACCCAGAAGAGCAAUCUGCAGAGCUCUGCCCAUCACUCUUCUUUGAUGCCUACUUGAUCCUGACUUAGAAUUCCUGGGACUGAGUAGGAACCUGCAAAGAGAAGAAGCAUUAGUUUAGAUCUGUUCACAACUGACCAGUUGGCUCCAGUGGUCUGAUGAAGUUGUCCUUACUGUGUCUGACACCAUGGAAAUAGUUCACCCAUCAAGCAGGAUUUGAUGGAAUCUUGGUGUUCUACCUUCUCAGGGACCAAAAACGUAACAUUAACUCCUUAGCAUUGACCUUCCUCUCAAAGACAUGUCUGUGUUAUUGAUAGUUUUUUCAUAUGUUUUACUCAUAGCUGUAGCUAGAGGUCUGUUAGUUUGAGUUAGGAAGAGAAAGACCAGUUUGUACACCAGUCACACCAUAAAACAGUUUAUCAUAUAAAAUACCUCAACUUUCUGUAUUCCUCACCUCCGCCUCAAAGUUGUACUGGUGAUGAAUUUUGAGGGUUUAUCCUUAAGCUUAUAGGUGAGUUUUCACAUCUGGCCAGAUUCUUAUACCUCCAUCAUAUACUUGAAUAGAUUAAGAAAUAUAGGAACGGGAACAAGAAUUUGGCCCAACUUCACAACUCAUUUACUUUCAUAGUAUUUCUCACAUGUGGUUAAAUGCAACAAAAGAAUUAUAUUUUAAAAAAGUGUAACUUUCUGUUACAUCAAAAAAUACUGUCUAGUGAAAAGUUGAUAUUCAGUAGAACAAUGAUCAUGUAAAUAAGCAUCUAUUUCAAAUGUACCCAAUAUGAAAAAAAGCAUAGUUUAGGCCCCAGAGCAUGAGCCGGGAGGAUUUAUUUGUUCUUUUUUCUAUUUUCCUCUGAAUUGUGCAACUGUAGGUGAGUCACUUAACCUUUCUGUGCCUCAGUUUCUCUACCUCUAAAGGGUGGGAUGGGUCUCCGUGUCUGUGUUAGAGCACUUGCAUGUUUAGCUUAUGCUGGUCACCUCAGACCAGAGCGCAUGGACAGGACCCCUUGGGAGUGAUGGACUGGGCAUCCCGUCUGCUCAGGACCAUGCUGUAGACACGCAACUUCAAGCACUGAGUAAGCAGAGGAAGCGCUGGGUGUAAAGCUUGCAUGAGUUUACGAAGCUUUAAUUUUCCUUUAGUUUUUUGUUUUAAAAAGAAGGGUUUUAUAUAUUGUUGUAAAAUAUGGAAGUUAAACAAAGACUUUAAAAAGCUGCACUGAGAGAUCACAUUCUGAUGGUGUAAUGAGCUUCUCUGACAUUCCACAAAGGUGUAUGUUCUGCAGAAGAAUCAAUGACCUGUAAACCAGAUUAAUUCUGUUGUGUUGAAUUUGUAAUGGGUGAUGCUGAACUUCCUGCUUCCAAGUGGCUCAACCCUGACCAUGAACUACCUGACACCAGCUGAAUGUCAGGAACUCCCAAACCAUUAGUGCCAAAGGGUCACACUGAAAAGCGCAGAAUCUCUUUCAUUUGUCAGACCGUAAUAAUUUGCCCCCAACCCCAACCUCAUGUCAGUGUUUUUACACUUUGGAAAAAUUUAAGAGUACUGUUUUUCAGUAGAAUUCCUGAGUGUUUUUGCCUCUUUAAAUAACUUUCUUGUAAAAUGGAAUAUAAUUGUGAAAGAGGAAUAAAACUAGAUAAAAAUGUAAAAUGUUGGUUGGUUGCGUAAAAUCUUUUUCAUGUAAAUGUAUCAGAAGAGCUUCCAAUUAGUACACACACAUAUUUGUCAAUGACUAAUACUUGCUUAUAUUCUGCUUUAUAGAAGUAGUCAUAGCAUGUUGUAAUUGCCUUAUGUAAAUAAAAGGCUAUUUAUUAAGUUUUCCAAUAAUAUUUAUUAAUAUGUAUGUGUUUUAAAAUAAAAUAACUUAUUUCUAGCUGAACUCUCGUUGCUUUUUUGCCCUUUACAUGAGAAGUUUGUGUGGUCUCAGGUUCCAUAUCAUCUUGAUUUCUCAAUCAGAUGCUUCCCAUUUUCUUCAUAGAAACGGAUAGCCCAGGUCUCCAUCAGGAUGUAGAAAAUGUCCACUCAUGCAUAUCUUAGGAAGCAAAACUAUGAUGAGUGAAGAAAUUUACCACUGAGAGACUACCUUCUGAUACAAUGAAAUGAUGUAUUAAAGAAAACCAUUUGUAUUUUAAUAUGUUAAUGUCUUUUACAUGUUUCUGAGGUAUAUAACAUGUAACACAUUUUAAAUACAUGGAAAAUUUGAGAAUCAUAACACAUUUUAAUACUCUGUCAUCAAAAAUCUUGUCACUAAUCUUUAUGUGUCCUAAAGUAAUUUUAUUAAAUUAUUAAAUUAAAAAAAUUUUGAGCAAAAUACCUUUCCUUAGGCUCUAUCCAAAAAGAUUUAAUUACUCACAUUUUGAUCAUAGUAUAUCUGUACAGAAAUAAGGAAAUAACAUUUUAAGAAACCACCAAAUGGAUAACCCUUUCUUCAUAGGUUUUUGGGAUGAAAUGUGUGCCAAAUUCUUCAAAAACUUGCCUGGGUUGGUUACUAUUAAAAAACUGUUAGUCGUAGCUGGUAGCCAAGUAUACUACUAUUGAACCUGAGCUCUAUAUCUGAUUCUGAGGAGUACAGAAAAUCAGAUGUGCUCCCCACUUUCCACUUCCUCUGUUGAUGAGUUAUGUCCCUGUCAGUUGACCUUUAGACAUCACAUGCCAGCAUCUUUGAUGUAAUAUUAAUCACACCAUAUUUUUAACCUCAUAUCAUAGGUAGUUUCAAAAAGAUUUUUUGUUUUGGAAAGCUGAGGCACAGUCAAGAAAUAGAGAAAUAAAAAGAUACCUGUAUCUAUAUUAGCAGUUCAAAGAAAAGAGGUAUUAAUUCCAGCUGAAGAAAUUUAUAAGUGUGGGGUUUGGAACUGUGCCAUGGCAAGCAGGAUAGGAGAGAUGCCAAUCAAGUAACAAACACAACAGAUCCAUGUAAAAUAAUUGAGAUAACGGGCUGGAAGGUGGAGGAAGUUCAAAUUAGGUUGUCUGUUUAUAAAAUGGAAUCGUUUUAUUUUGGGCAAAGAUGUCUGGAGGAUCUCAGUGUUCCUCCCCUAUUUUGGCAUGUUUAUUCACUAUUGGUUUUCUAUUGCUGCUCUAACAAAUUACCACAAACUUUGUGGUUUACAACUACACAAACUUAUAGUUUGUGAGGGUC